rnacentral:rRNA from 1 species
CGCAUUAAGUGCCCCGCCUGGGGAGUACGGCCGCAAGGCUAAAACUCAAAGGAAUUGACGGGGGCCCGCACAAGCGGCGGAGCAUGCGGAUUAAUUCGAUGCAACGCGAAGAACCUUACCAAGGCUUGACAUUCACCGGACCGCCUCAGAGAUGGGGUUUCCCUUCGGGGCUGGUGGACAGGUGGUGCAUGGUUGUCGUCAGCUCGUGUCGUGAGAUGUUGGGUUAAGUCCCGCAACGAGCGCAACCCUCGUUCUAUGUUGCCAGCACGUGAUGGUGGGGACUCAUAGGAGACUGCCGGGGUCAACUCGGAGGAAGGUGGGGAUGACGUCAAAUCAUCAUGCCCCUUAUGUCUUGGGCUUCACGCAUGCUACAAUGGCCGGUACAAAGGGUUGCGAUACUGUGAGGUGGAGCUAAUCCCAAAAAGCCGGUCUCAGUUCGGAUUGAGGUCUGCAACUCGACCUCAUGAAGUCGGAGUCGCUAGUAAUCGCAGAUCAGCAACGCUGCGGUGAAUACGUUCCCGGGCCUUGUACACACCGCCCGUCAAGUCACGAAAGUUGGUAACACCCGAAGCCGGUGGCC